rnacentral:rRNA from 1 species
GACGAACGCUGGCGGCGUGCUUAGCACAUGCAAGUCGAACGGAAAGGCCCUUCGGGGUACUCGAGUGGCGAACGGGUGAGUAACACGUGGGUGAUCUGCCCUGCACUUUGGGAUAAGCCUGGGAAACUGGGUCUAAUACCGAAUAGGACCACGCGCUUCAUGGUGUGUGGUGGAAAGCUUUUGCGGUGUGGGAUGGGCCCGCGGCCUAUCAGCUUGUUGGUGGGGUAAUGGCCUACCAAGGCGACGACGGGUAGCCGGCCUGAGAGGGUGACCGGCCGCACUGGGACUGAGAUACGGCCCAGACUCCUACGGGAGGCAGCAGUGGGGAAUAUUGCACAAUGGGCGCAAGCCUGAUGCAGCGACGCCGCGUGAGGGAUGACGGCCUUCGGGUUGUAAACCUCUUUCGCCAGGGACGAAGCGCAAGUGACGGUACCUGGAGAAUAAGGACCGGCUAACUACGUGCCAGCCGCCGCGGUAA